rnacentral:rRNA from 1 species
AAUGAACGCUGGCGGCAUGCCUAAGACAUGCACGCCGAACGAGCUCUUCGGGUCUAGUGGCGCACGGGUGCGUUACGCGUGGGAACCUGCCCUUGGGUUCGGAAUAACUCGCCGAAAGGCGUGCUCAGCCCGGAUGAUGCCGUAAGUCCCAAGAUUUAUCGCCCGAGGAGGGGCCCGCGUAGGAUUAGCUAGUUGGUGGGGUAAAGGCCCACCAAGGCGACGAUCCUUGGCUGGUCCGAGGGGAUGAGCCGCCACACUGGGACUGAGACACGGCCCAGGCUACUACGGGAGGCGGCAGUGGGGAAUAUUGGACAAUGGGCGAAAGCCUGGUCCAGCGAUGCCGCGUGGGUGAUGAAGGCCUUAGGGUUGUAAAGCUCUUUUGCCCGGGAUGAUAGUGACAGUACCGGGAGAAUAAGCCCCGACUAACUCCGUGCCAGCCGCCGCCGUAA